GUACUUACUUUGGCAGCACAUAUACAAAAAUAAGAAUGAUACAGAGAAAAUUAUCCUGGUCCGUUUGCAAGGAUAAUACACAAAUUUGUGAAGUGCUCCAUAUUUUU
rnacentral:snRNA from 1 species